AAUCAACGCUGGCGGCGCGCUUAACACAUGCAAGUCGCACGAGAAAGUGGAGCAAUCCAUGAGUACAGUGGCGUACGGGUGAGUAACACGUGGGUAAUCUACCUCUUAGUGGGGAAUAACUCUGGGAACCGGAGCUAAUACCGCAUAAGCCUGGAAAGGGAAAGCAGCAAUGCGCUGAGAGAGGAGCCCGCGGCCGAUUAGCUAGUUGGUAGGGUAAAAGCCUACCAAGGCAAUGAUCGGUAGCCGGCCUGAGAGGGCACACGGCCACACUGGCACUGAAACACGGGCCAGACUCCUACGGGAGGCAGCAGUGGGGAAUCUUGCACAAUGGGGGCGAACCCUGAUGCAGCGACGCCGCGUGAGCGAUGAAG
rnacentral:rRNA from 1 species